rnacentral:lncRNA from 1 species
CAAAGUCUGUAAGAAGCACCCCUCUUUUCAAGAUUUGUAACAAAGCAUAAUAUAAAUGCAUCAACAGAUCUAAUGCUGUGGUGGACCCAAGAACCAUAUCAGUGCUAGCAAAAUGACAGACUUUGUACAGCAUCAAACCUGCCCUAUGGACCAUUGUUUGUCUAAUUAUGUCUAAAGAAUAUAUAAAACUCUUUCAUAUCCCCAAAGGACAGUGUUCUGAUAAU